CCUGCUCAAUGAAAUAUUAAAUUGCCGCAAUUUUGUGCUAAGGUAGCAUAAUAAUUUGUUUCCUAAUUAGAAAAUAGAAUGAAUGAAUUUACGAGAUAUAAACUAUUUUUAAUUAAAAUAAUAAAAUUUAAAUCAAUGUAAAAAUUCAUUUUUCUAACUAAAAGACAACAAGACCCUUAGAAUUUUACUUUUAAGUUUAACUGGGGAGGUUAAAAAAUUAAAACUUAAUAUUUUUAAAUAAUUUUUAUUAAAAUAUAAAUUACCUAAGGGAUAACAGCACAAUUAAAUAUCUUAGAUCCUAUAUUAUAAUAAAAUUGUGACCUCGAUGUUGAAUUAUUUUUACUUUUAUUAGAAACAUAAUAAAAAGAAAGUCUGUUCGACUUUUUAAAACUUACAU
rnacentral:rRNA from 1 species